GGGACACGUGGUAUCCUGUCUGAAUAUGGGGGGACCAUCCUCCAAGGCUAAAUACUCCUGACUGACCGAUAGUGAACCAGUACCGUGAGGGAAAGGCGAAAAGAACCCCGGCGAGGGGAGUGAAAAAGAACCUGAAACCGUGUACGUACAAGCAGUGGGAGCACCUUCGGGUGUGACUGCGUACCUUUUGUAUAAUGGGUCAGCGACUUAUAUUCUGUAGCAAGGUUAACCGUAUAGGGGAGCCGCAGGGAAACCGAGUCUUAACUGGGCGUUAAGUUGCAGGGUAUAGACCCGAAACCCGGUGAUCUAGCCAUGGGCAGGUUGAAGGUUGGGUAACACUAACUGGAGGACCGAACCGACUAAUGUUGAAAAAUUAGCGGAUGACUUGUGGCUGGGGGUGAAAGGCCAAUCAAACCGGGAGAUAGCUGGUUCUCCCCGAAAGCUAUUUAGGUAGCGCCUCGUGAACUCAUCUUCGGGGGUAGAGCACUGUUUCGGCUAGGGGGUCAUCCCGACUUACCAACCCGAUGCAAACUACGAAUACCGAAGAAUGUUAUCACGGGAGA
rnacentral:rRNA from 1 species